GGGGGCGACCUGGAUUCGACGGGGGUAGCAAAACUGGAGGUGCAUGCCGAGGUGCAGUCACCUCGUAAAUCAGCUGCAAAACUUUUAGUUGCCAACGACGACAACUACGCCUUAGCUGCUUAAUCGCAGCUAACCUCUGACUGAUAUGUGCUUGUGCGCUCAGACCCAGAGGUCAUCCACACAAGAUCGUGACUGACCGCGUUCGGCGUCGUAGUCACUAAAGCAAUCCGAACUCGCCAAGCAGCAACGUGUCGGUUCGUGGCUUCGCGGCUAAACUAAAUAAGCGACUAAGCAUGUAGUAUCCAAAGGCGGAGCACUUUCGGACGCGGGUUCGAUUCCCGCCGCCUCCACCA
rnacentral:tmRNA from 1 species